rnacentral:snRNA from 1 species
GUGCUCACUUCAGCAGCACGUAUGCUAACAUUGGAACAAUACAGAGAAGAUUAGCAUGGCCCCUUCACAAGGAUGACACAUUAAUGAUGUGGCUACAUUACUU